rnacentral:rRNA from 1 species
AGAGUUUGAUCCUGGCUCAGAGCGAACGCUGGCGGCAGGCCUAACACAUGCAAGUCGAACGAUCCUUCGGGAUAGUGGCGGACGGGUGAGUAACACGUGGGAACGUGCCCUUUGGUUCGGAACAACUCAGGGAAACUUGAGCUAAUACCGGAUGUGCCCUUCGGGGGAAAGAUUUAUCGCCAUUGGAGCGGCCCGCGUAGGAUUAGCUAGUUGGUGGGGUAAUGGCCCACCAAGGCUCCGAUCCUUAGCUGGUCUGAGAGGAUGAUCAGCCACGCUGGGACUGAGACACGGCCCAGACUCCUACGGGAGGCAGCAGUGGGGAAUCUUGCGCAAUGGGCGAAAGCCUGACGCAGCCAUGCCGCGUGAAUGAUGAAGGUCUUAGGAUUGUAAAAUUCUUUCACCGGGGACGAUAAUGACGGUACCCGGAGAAGAAGCCCCGGCUAACUUCGUGCCAGCAGCCGCGGUAAUACGAAGGGGGCUAGCGUUGCUCGGAAUUACUGGGCGUAAAGGGAGCGUAGGCGGACUGUUUAGUCAGAGGUGAAAGCCCAGGGCUCAACCUUGGAAUUGCCUUUGAUACUGGCAGUCUUGAGUACGGAAGAGGUAUGUGGAACUCCGAGUGUAGAGGUGAAAUUCGUAGAUAUUCGGAAGAACACCAGUGGCGAAGGCGACAUACUGGUCCGUUACUGACGCUGAGGCUCGAAAGCGUGGGGAGCAAACAGGAUUAGAUACCCUGGUAGUCCACGCCGUAAACGAUGAGUGCUAGUUGUCGGCAUGCAUGCAUGUCGGUGACGCAACUAACGCAUUAAGCACUCCGCCUGGGGGAGUACGGUCGCAAGAUUAAAACUCAAGGAAUUGACGGGGGCCCCGCACAAGCGUGGAGCAUGUGGUUUAAUUCGAAGCAACGCGCAGAACCUUACCACCUUUUGACAUGCCUGGGACCGCUGC